rnacentral:snoRNA from 1 species
UUUCAUGCAAGUCUGACAGACCUGGAGCAAUUAAUGUCUGCUGCUAAGGUUUCCACAACAAAUGAAAGAAAAAAGAAAAAAGGUCUGUUUUCUGUCUGUCUGGUUGUGGCAACCAAGAUUAAAUAUGGGAAUACAAGA